ensembl:miRNA
CGGUUCAGACGUGGCGGCGGUAGCAGUGGCAUCCCGGACGGCCUGUGAGGGAUGCGCCGCCCACUGCCCCGCGCCGCCUGACCG